rnacentral:rRNA from 1 species
CCUACGGGUGGCAGCAGUGGGGAAUAUUGCACAAUGGGCGCAAGCCUGAUGCAGCCAUGCCGCGUGUGUGAAGAAGGCCUUCGGGUUGUAAAGCACUUUCAGCGGGGAGGAAGGCGGUGAGGUUAAUAACCUCAUCGAUUGACGUUACCCGCAGAAGAAGCACCGGCUAACUCCGUGCCAGCAGCCGCGGUAAUACGGAGGGUGCAAGCGUGAAUCGGAAUUACUGGGCGUAAAGCGCACGCAGGCGGUCUGUCAAGUCGGAUGUGAAAUCCCCGGGCUCAACCUGGGAACUGCAUUCGAAACUGGCAGGCUAGAGUCUUGUAGAGGGGGGUAGAAUUCCAGGUGUAGCGGUGAAAUGCGUAGAGAUCUGGAGGAAUACCGGUGGCGAAGGCGGCCCCCUGGACAAAGACUGACGCUCAGGUGCGAAAGCGUGGGGAGCAAACAGGAUUAGAUACCCGGGUAGUC